GGAUGCGAUCAUACCAGCACUAAAGCACCGCAUCCCAUCAGAACUCCGAAGUUAAGCGUGCUUGGGGGAGAGUAGUACUAGGAUGGGUGACCUCCUGGGAAGUCCUCGUGUUGCAUUCC
rnacentral:rRNA from 1 species